UACGUAGGGUGCAAGCGUUUAAUCGGAAUUACUGGGCGUAAAGCGUACGCAGGCGGUUUUGUAAGUCAGAUGUGAAAUCCCCGGGCUUAACCUGGGAACUGCGUUUGAAACUACAAGGCUAGAGUGUGGCAGAGGGGGGGUGGAAUUCCACGUGUAGCAGUGAAAUGCGUAGAGAUGUGGAGGAACACCGAUGGCGAAGGCAGCCCCCUGGGUUAACACUGACGCUCAGGCACGAAAGCGUGGGGAGCAAACAGG
rnacentral:rRNA from 1 species